rnacentral:misc_RNA from 1 species
GGGGACUUCAAGUGCGACAUCACAGCUGACAGGGCAGGAGCAGGGUGCUUCAAAGAGGCCGAGGCAUGAUGAGAUAAUACAGCAGCAGAUGAUCCAGCAGCUCCUGCAGCGGGGCGAGGGACACCAGAACCCGCAACUGCAGGCAAUGAUCCAUCAGCAGAGGCUGGCGCAGCAGCGCCAGCAGCAGCAGGCUUACCCACAGA